CGGUUUCAUUUUGAUUACUCUGUUACAAUGUAUUUUGUUGAAUCGACAUUGUACAUAAUUUGGUUAGUAUUAUAAUGUGUUAUUUUGUUUCAAUAAAAAUAGUAGUAGAAAAUUUCACAAGCAUGCUGCUAGUUUUACUAUUUUGGAAAAUACAUGCACUUUUGAUAGAUACAAAGGUAGGUGUGUGUGAAGUCGAUCUACGAUAUUGAAAAUUUUGUGAAUAAUUCUACUGCAACGUUGAGCAAUUUUUC
rnacentral:lncRNA from 1 species